AUUGAACGCUGGCGGCAGGCCUAACACAUGCAAGUCGAACGAGUGGCGGAAGGGUGAGUAAUGUCUGGGAAACUGCCUGAUGGAGGGGGAUAACUACUGGAAACGGUAGCUAAUACCGACUACAAUCGGCUGUGCCAAGAUGGGAUUAGCUAGUCGGUGGGGUAAAGGCGCACCUAGGCGACGAUCCAUAGCUGGUCAGCGGGGAUGACCAUCCAAACUGGAACUGAGACACGGUCCAGACUCCUACGGGAGGCAGAAGUGGGGAAUAUUGCACAAUGGGCGCAAGCCUGAUGCAGCCAUGCCGCGUGUAUGAAGAAGGCCUUCGGGUUGUAAAGUACUUUCAGCGGGGAGGCGUUACCCGCAGAAGAAGCACCGGCUAACUCCGUGCCAGCCGCCGCGGUAAUAC
rnacentral:rRNA from 1 species